rnacentral:rRNA from 1 species
UUCCCUUCGGGGAGCGAGUAGAGUGGCGCACGGGUGAGUAACACGUAGGUAAUCUACCUUUGGAUUGGGAAUAACAACCGGAAACGGUUGCUAAUACCGAAUAAUGCAGCGGCACCUAAUGGUGACAGUUGUUAAAGCGGGGGAUCGCAAGACCUCGCGUCUGAAGAGGAGCCUGCGGCAGAUUAGCUAGUUGGUAAGGUAACGGCUUACCAAGGCGAUGAUCUGUAGCCGGCCUGAGAGGGCGGUCGGCCACACUGACACUGACAUACGGGUCAGACUCCUACGGGAGGCAGCAGUCGGGAAUUUUGGGCAAUGGGCGCAAGCCUGACCCAGCAACGCCGCGUGAAGGAUGAAAUCCCUCGGGAUGUAAACUUCGCAAGAACGGGAAGAAUAAGUAAGGGUUAAUAUCUCUUACGAUGACGGUACUGUUUGUAAGCUCCGGCUAACUCCGUGCCAGCAGCCGCGGUAAUACGGGGGGAGCAAGCGUUGUUCGGAUUUACUGGGCGUAAAGGGCGCGUAGGCGGCCUCUGCAAGUCGACUGUGAAAUCUCCGGGCUUAACCCGGAAAGGUCAGCCGAUACUGCAGGGCUAGAGUGCAGAAGGGGCAACUGGAAUUCUCGGUGUAGCGGUGAAAUGCGUAGAUAUCGAGAGGAACACCUGCGGCGAAGGCGGGUUGCUGGGCUGACACUGACGCUGAGGCGCGAAAGCUAGGGGAGCGAACGGGAUUAGAUACCCCGGUAGUCCUAGCCUUAAACGAUGAAUGCUUGGUGUCUGGGGGUUUUAUAGUCCCCGGGUGCCGUCGCUAACGCUUUAAGCAUUCCGCCUGGGGGAGUACGGUCGCAAGACUG